UCUCCCUCUUCGUUCGCUCUGGGAGAUCGCCAUGGCCGAAAUUCGUCGAUCUCAUCGCUGAACUCGUCGCUAAUCUCUUCGCCGUUUUUCGAUCUCAUCGUCUCCGAUCUCAACUCUGAUUUCGUCGUCGAUCUUGUAACUAAUCUAUUCGUCGAGCUGUUGGUCUCGUCUCCGAUCUCAUCUCCGAUAUAGGUCGUCGAGCUCGCAGCUAAUCCGUCUCCGAUCUCACUCUCCUUUGGACUCUCAGGCACAAGACGAGAUUACAUAUUGGACAGCUAGUGAAAUAUACAUCAGCAAAGCUUAAACAAGCUAGUGAAAACGAUCACCGUGUUGAAGUUAGCGGCUCUGUUGUACAUGUUGUCACGGGGAAAAAGGAAAACAUGGGCUCUUGCAGGAGUUCACCUCUUUACUCCAACUUGUAAUUUAUUCACGCAGAAGAAGAAAAAGAAAAGGAUGAUAUGGCUAAGGUUUUUUUUAAUAAUUUUUAUACUUGAGGAGCUUUGGAAGGUGAAGCUGGAUUUUCUGAGCGAUCAUUAUAAGCUGCUUCCUGUUGAUUUACGUGAUGUUGAGCAGUUAGAUAUUAUCUUGAGGCUUGCAAAGUUGGAUCCCAGUUAAUCACUUCUCUUUGAGCGAUGGAAACAGUGGGUGAUUCUAGAUCAAGUUCAAAAGAGAAGAGAUCAUUUGAGAUAAUU